rnacentral:rRNA from 1 species
UUCGCCCUUAGAGUUUGAUCCUGGCUCAGGACGAACGCUGGCGGCGUGCCUAACACAUGCAAGUCGAGCGGAGACAGUGAGUAGCUUGCUAUGAGCUGUUUUAGCGGCGGACGGGUGAGUAACGCGUGAGCAACCUUUCCCAGACAGGGGAAUAACACACCGAAAGGUGUACUAAUACCGCAUAAGACCACGGGAUCACAUGGUUCUGGGGUAAAAGAAUUAUCGGUUUGGGGUGGGCUCGCGUCCGAUUAGCUAGUUGGUGAGGUAACGGCCCACCAAGGCGACGAUCGGUAGCCGGACUGAGAGGUUGAACGGCCACAUUGGGACUGAGACACGGCCCAGACUCCUACGGGAGGCAGCAGUGGGGAAUAUUGCACAAUGGGGGAAACCCUGAUGCAGCGACGCCGCGUGGAGGAAGAAGGUCUUCGGAUUGUAAACUCCUGUUGUUGAGGAAGAUAAUGACGGUACUCAACAAGGAAGUGACGGCUAACUACGUGCCAGCAGCCGCGGUAAAACGUAGGGUGCAAGCGUUGUCCGGAAUUACUGGGUGUAAAGGGAGCGCAGGCGGGAAGACAAGUUGGAAGUGAAAACCAUGGGCUCAACCCAUGAAUUGCUUUCAAAACUGUUUUUCUUGAGUAGUGCAGAGGUAGAUGGAAUUCCCGGUGUAGCGGUGGAAUGCGUAGAUAUCGGGAGGAACACCAGUGGCGAAGGCGGUCUACUGGGCACCAACUGACGCUGAGGCUCGAAAGCAUGGGUAGCAAACAGGAUUAGAUACCCUGGUAGUCCAUGCCGUAAACGAUGAUUACUAGGUGUUGGGGGAUUGACCCCCUCAGUGCCGCAGUUAACACAAUAAGUAAUCCACCUGGGGAGUACGACCGCAAGGUUGAAACUCAAAGGAAUUGACGGGGGCCCGCACAAGCAGUGGAGUAUGUGGUUUAAUUCGAAGCAACGCAAAGAACCUUACCAGGUCUUGACAUCCGAUGCAUAACACAGAGAUGUGUGAAAUCCUUCGGGACAUCGAGACAGGUGGUGCAUGGUUGUCGUCAGCUCGUGUCGUGAGAUGUUGGGUUAAGUCCCGCAACGAGCGCAACCCUUAUUGCCAGUUACUACGUUAAGAGGACUCUGGCGAGACUGCCGUUGACAAAACGGAGGAAGGUGGGGAUGACGUCAAAUCAUCAUGCCCUUUAUGACCUGGGCUACACACGUACUACAAUGGCGUUAAACAAAGAGAAGCAAGACCGCGAGGUGGAGCAAAACUCAAAAACAACGUCUCAGUUCAGAUUGCAGGCUGCAACUCGCCUGCAUGAAGUCGGAAUUGCUAGUAAUCGCGGAUCAGCAUGCCGCGGUGAGUACGUUCCCGGGCCUUGCACACACCGCCCGUCA